rnacentral:rRNA from 1 species
GAUGAACGCUGGCGGCGUGCCUAACACAUGCAAGUCGAGCGAAGCGCUGUUUUCAGAAUCUUCGGAGGAAGAGGACAGUGACUGAGCGGCGGACGGGUGAGUAACGCGUGGGCAACCUGCCUCAUACAGGGGGAUAACAGUUAGAAAUGACUGCUAAUACCGCAUAAGCGCACAGCACCGCAUGGUGCAGGGGUAAAAACUCCGGUGGUAUGAGAUGGACCCGCGUCUGAUUAGGUAGUUGGUGGGGUAACGGCCUACCAAGCCGACGAUCAGUAGCCGACCUGAGAGGGUGACCGGCCACAUUGGGACUGAGACACGGCCCAAACUCCUACGGGAGGCAGCAGUGGGGAAUAUUGCACAAUGGGGGAAACCCUGAUGCAGCGACGCCGCGUGAGCGAUGAAGUAUUUCGGUAUGUAAAGCUCUAUCAGCAGGGAAGAAAAUGACGGUACCUGACUAAGAAGCACCGG